rnacentral:rRNA from 1 species
GAUUUAUCGCUGAAGGAUCGGCCCGCGUCUGAUUAGCUAGUUGGUGAGGUAACGGCUCACCAAGGCGACGAUCAGUAGCUGGUCUGAGAGGAUGAUCAGCCUCACUGGGACUGAGACACGGCCCAGACUCCUACGGGAGGCAGCAGUGGGGAAUAUUGGACAAUGGGCGCAAGCCUGAUCCAGCCAUGCCGCGUGGGUGAUGAAGGCCCUAGGGUUGUAAAGCCCUUUCGGCGGGGAAGAUAAUGACGGUACCCGCAGAAGAAGCCCCGGCUAACUUCGUGCCAGCAGCCGCGGUAAUACGAAGGGGGCUAGCGUUGCUCGGAAUCACUGGGCGUAAAGCGCACGUAGGCGGCUUCUUAAGUCAGGGGUGAAAUCCUGGAGCUCAACUCCAGAACUGCCUUUGAUACUGAGGAGCUCGAGUCCGGGAAAGUGAGUGGACUGC